UACAGAGGGUGCGAGCGUUGUCCGGAAUCACUGGGCGUAAAGGGCGCGUAGGCGGUCUCUUAAGCGUGUGGUGAAAGCCCGGGGCUCAACUCCGGGUCGGCCGUGCGAACUGGGGGACUGGAGCUUGUCAGAGGCAGGCGGAAUUCCGGGUGUAGCGGUGGAAUGCGUAGAGAUCCGGAAGAACACCGGUGGCGAAGGCGGUUCUCUGGGCCUGUACUGACGCUGAGGAGCGAAAGCGUGGGGAGCGAACAGGG
rnacentral:rRNA from 1 species